AGGGUUUUACAAAAUGCUGAAUAAAAUCGAAACAAACGGCGAAUUAAAUGAUAGAAUAGAAAGUUCAAUGAAUAUUCCUAUGUGUUAUAAAUGCAAAAGAUGUAAUGCUAUAAUUAACAUAAACGGAAAGUUAUGCAGAUGUUGUUUUUUUUCACAUGUAGAAUAUAAAUUUAAAAGUACGCUAAGAGAAAAAUGUUUAUUUAAACAUAAGAUAAGUAGUAAUUUAUGUGAUGUGCAAGACUCAGAGGGAAUAAAAGGAGGUGGAGGAGAUAAAGAUAAUAAGAACAAUGUUAUUGAAAAGAGAGAAGAGAUUGAAAAUAAAAGUGAUUAUAUUGAAAAGUUAAAAAAGAGAGAAGAAAAGAAAAAAACGAAACAAAAAAAAAAAACAGGUAUAGCAUUUUCUGGAGAAACAUGCUCCUGUUUUCUGUUACAUUGUUUUGUAAAAUAUUUAAAAAAUAGUAACAUGAAAAAUGAUAAUUUGUUUUUAUCUAAUGAGCAUGCUAUAUUCAGUGAUAUAAUUUUUGUUGAUAUUAAUGAGGAUAAGAAUUACAUUUCAAAUUUAAUAAGUUUGGUUUGGGAUAUAUUUAGAUCGAUAGAAGAAAAAGCUGAUGGUGUAUGUUUAAAAAUUGAUGAAGACAAUAUAAAUAAAGAAAAAGUAGAGGAAAAAUUAGAGGAAAAAUUGGAUUAUAACUUUAGUGAUGGUAAUACCGCUUAUCCAUUGUCCAUUAAUAAUAAAGAUGAUAUUAUUUUUUGUAAUGGUGUGUAUAAAAAAAAAAUAAACAAAAUAAAUUUAGUUGUGUUAAAAAGCAAUUAUUUUAUAAAAGAAAGUAAUAAAAAGGAAUUUUUAGUAAUUUAUGAUUUAAUAAAAAAAAAAAAACAUGAAAAAAAUGAUUGUUUAAACUUUAUAAACGAAUUGAUUAUUUAUAAUAACAUUUUAAAAUAUAGUAUAAACGAAAAUAUUGAAUAUAUUUUAUUAGGAAAUAAUGCAAAUAAUAUCUGUAAUAAAGCAUUUUUAUAUACAAUAAUGGGUAAUGGUAUAAAUAUACCUUUAUGUACGGCUUAUAUAGAUAACAGAUAUACAUCCGUAAAAAUGAUUAAACCAUUAAAAGAGUUGUUUGUUAAGGAAAUAUAUUUAUAUUGUUUUUAUAAAAAUAUUUCAUAUUUGAAAAAUACUAUGAACAAUUAUGUAAGUAGUAGUAGGUUAUAUACAACUUUAUACAAUGUGUUAUCAGAAUUAAACUCCAAUAAUAACACAACAUCUAUUAUUAAUAGC
rnacentral:lncRNA from 1 species